rnacentral:rRNA from 1 species
UACGUAGGGUGCGAGUGUUGUCCGGAAUUAUUGGGCGUAAAGAGCUUGUAGGUGGCUCGUUGCGUCGGGAGUGAAAACCUGCGGCUUAACCGCAGGCCUGCUUCCGAUACGGGCGAGCUAGAGUUCGGCAGGGGAGACUGGAAUUCCUGGUGUAGCGGUGGAAUGCGCAGAUAUCAGGAGGAACACCGGUGGCGAAGGCGGGUCUCUGGGCCGAUACUGACACUGAGAAGCGAAAGCGUGGGGAGCGAACAGG